ACAAUAAUCAUGUGACGCCCAAACAUUCAUUAUCAAUAUUUUAUAUUGCGACUAUAUCAUAAUUAUUAUAAAAAUAAAUGUAUUCUCAAAAACUUGAAAACAUGAAGGUGCUUUCUCAGGUUUUAAUUUUGUUGGCUGUAGCAGGAGUCGCUUAUUUGCAUGAAGAAUGUAAUAGCGCUGAGAGAGUGCAAUGGGGGAAAGUAAUGUUAACGUACCCUUAUGAAUGCUUUGAUCCGAAAUUUUUAUUAGAAGUUAUGACAUGUUACAAUACGCCUCGUAAUAAUAUUACCUAUGGAGAAGGAAUCAAUCAAUGUCUGACUAAAUCCUACGCGUUGGGCGGAGUUGUUUGCAGAAGUAAUUGUACCCCGCUGUUGAAUGAGUUACUGUAUAUGGCUGUUCGAAAAUACGAUUUUAACUGUUACAACCAAACAUUUUUGGAAGUGUUGUUUAAAUGCAUUUUUGACAUUCGCAAAAGUGCUGAAUGCCCAGAAAAUGGUUACAGUUCAUGUACCACACAAGUUAAGGAUCUAAUCCUAUAAAUUAUCUUUUCCUUCAAAUAAUAAGCUCAACCGAACAUGUACACAUUUUUUCCUUCUUUAUGCUUGUGUAGUCCUGAUUUGUAUUUAGUUUUAAAUACCUAUCACAAGUUGUAUAUCGUAUUUAUAGGAAACAAGUAUAAAGUGUGUGCAGAUAAA